AUGUCAGCCUGGAGGUUGCUGCUAGUAGAAGAGCUCCUUAGGCUGUGCUCUGCCUUUGGACUUUGCUUACAGGCAGAUGAAGGAAAGCCAUGUAUCUGCAUGUUGGCGUGCCUGGUGACAUGUUUCCAGUUCAGAUUUGUGUGGGCAUCUACAGUACCAGUGAAACAAAAAGGCCAUUGCCAGCCCUAUGUAAGCUCAGAGAAGCCUUGCCAUGAGCAUCCUACAGGCACAGUGAUGGACAGAAGAAGAGGUGAUGGCAUUAUGCUCUGUAAGAUGUGUGGGCAGGGUGGUUGGGGCUGAGUGCUGUCAUGCUUUAAUGCUCCCCAUGUGUUCACAGAAUGGCCAGGGCUGCUCUUUACUGCAGCUGGGGAGAGCUGAGGGAAAAUCCCUGAAUGCCAAGGAAAAAUUACUCUGAUUCAAUGGUCAUAAGGGUGCUUAUGCCAUCCUUGCCUAUGUGCUUGUUCUUGUCAGAGGAGUCAACUUGGACUGAUGCUUAAAGCAACCACAGACCCAUCUGAAGAGGCUUGCUGCCACUGUGGUAAUGUAACUGCCCAAACUGAGCAUAGUGAUCUGCAGCCUUUGCCCUAGUGGAGGUGUUUGCUGAUUUGCAAGUGCCCAGUGGUGGUCUGGGCUAUGUGCUCUGAUGCAGCAUGGCAGCAUCUUGAUUUCCAGUCUUUUGUGUGCGGAGAAGGGGGAAACAGCACAUGAAGCCCCUCUGCAUUUUCACCAUUUGUUAUGAGCAUUUUAUCUCCCACAUUCCUCUUCCAGGCACGUUUAAGAAAUCCUUUAACCUCUCCCUGCAGUCUCAGGUUUCCCCCGGCUUUCUUCAUUGCCGUUGGUUGCCCAACAUUUCCUCCUAGCCCCAGGAGCUCAGUGACUACUGAGGCACGUGAGCCAGCAGGCACAUAUGCAUCAUACAUGCUUUGCUGAUUGUCAUGGCCCAGUAACACAGUGAGGGAUGGCAGAUUGCUCUUAGGGUACCAGCCAAUCUCGGCCUAGCAUCUUGUAGCAGUGAGGUCCACAUGUUAACUGGGCAACCUGCAAAGCUCUGGUGAGCUGUUUUUCCUAUUUUAAUUGUGUUUUGGGGAGUAUUUGGGUAGCUACUAUUUGUUUAGUACCAAAGCAAAUGAGAAAACUUGUACUGCAUCACUUGUUGUUUUGUGCAUUUCUAGUAUAACCUAUUUUGAAGCAGCUGGCCCUUAAUCUUUCCUCCUGAUGACCUUGAGAACCCUUUUGUGCUUCUAACAACUUCUGGCA
rnacentral:lncRNA from 1 species